AGGCAGCCUCAAGUAAGAAAAUACCUUUGUAAGAGCUGGCUAUAGGCAAGCCUGUGAGGCGUUUUCUGGAUUAGUGACUUACAGGGGAGAGACAAGCCAUUGUGGGUGGGGCAUUCCCUGUGCUGGUGGUCCUGGCUCUAUAAGAGCAGACCAUGGAGGGGAACAAGCUAGGAAGCAUCAACAUUCUCAUUCUCAUGGCCUCUGCAUCAGCUCCUGCCUCCAGGUUCCUACUUUGUUUGAGUUCCUGUCCUGACCUCUUUUGAUGAUAUGAUGCUAAGGAAGAAAUAAGCCACAUAAACCUUCCUCCCCAACUCGCUUUUGUGAUGUUUCAUCACAGUAAUAGUAACCCUAAGUAAGACAGCCUCCAUCUGAAGACACCUAGAGAGCUUGCACGGUGCUGGGUGUGACGGGCAACACUGAACUUCGGAGCAGUAUGUGCACAGCUCAUCCUCUUGUGACGCUGCUGGAGGGAGGAGGACACUUACCAUUGGUCUCCAGUGACCGCCUCAGUGCAUUCCACGUGGACAGAAAGAUGGUGAUUCGGUCAUGCAACAGCUUUCUCAGCCCAUCUGUUGAGCAGAGCAGUUCAGAAGAACUGUGACAACAAUACAGCCAUGUUCCGACUCAUAGCAGCUCUGCCUUCCUGUUGCAGCUUGGCUAGCUGGAACUAGGGUAUCUUUGUCUCAUGCCCAGUGACCUGCUAUUGAGCCCUCAUCCCUUUAUCUGUUAAACACUUAUGUUUAGAGCUUGAAUAGAGUCUUACCUGAACUGUGACUGUGAAUGAAGCCUCUGAUGGAACUGUAUUCCACUCUCGAGACAUUCUGGAACUGUUUGACCAGAUCCCUUUGCAGAGCCAAUAUCUCAGGCAGGAAUUUCACCAACCUUAGUUCUGCUUCCUGCAGAAAGGAAGAUGGUUUAGUAGUGAUGCCUCUGUUUCCCUAAGGAAUGCUAGUGAGCUUGUACAUUUUGUAGGUGCUUGGGGGAUUGAUACUGCUGAGUGAGUCUGCUCAGUGUUCCAUUUUCUAUGUGACAUACCAUAGACUUUAGAAAGAGGUAAAGGGCCAUCUCAUUCUUUCUCUAAGUACCCACAAAUGGCUUUCAGGGUUACACUCUUCUACACUCUGCCCUGGAACCCAGAGCCAAACCUGUGUGCCAAAACCCAAUGGGUAGAACUGCCUUGAGGACUAAAUCCUAUCUCAUCCAGUACAAAAUUGACCCUGGAUAGAUCAAAUACCUAAAUGUAAGACCCCAAACUGCCAGAGGAAAACAGGAAAUGUGCUGGAGUGAAGAGUCAUUUCUGGACAGGAAUCCAAAAGCACCAAUUGACACAAAUGACUAAAAACCUUCUGUUCAACAAAGGAACCAUUCAACAGGGGCAAAGGAGAAUUACAGAAUAGAAGACUUGCCAUUAGCCCAAAAAAGGCUUCUGUCCAGAGUAUGUAAAAAACAAUAGCCUAACAAUCCCAUUAAGACUGGGUAAAUGAACUGAAUAGAUACUUCUCAAGAAAUACAGAUGACCAACAAGUACAUGAAGAAAUGUCCAGUAUCAUUAGUUAUCAGGGAAAAACCAAUUAGUAAUAUACUGAAAUACUAUCUCACCCCCAGGCAGAAGGCCAGUGAAAAAAACAGCCAGUGUCAAAUGGGGCCCAGGAAGUGGAGAAAAAGGAAUACCAUUGCUAGUUGAGCAUAAAUUAGAACAGCUAUUAUGGCAAAGUAGGGAAGGUCCUCAAAAAAUCAAGUGUUAAUUACCAAACAGUCUAGCCUUUCUUCUGGUUAUGCACUCAGUAGACCAAUGACACAUGUGCACCCCCAUGCUUUCUGCGACUUCAGUGACAACAGCUAAGAGUUUCAACUUAGAUUCCCAUUAGCAGAUGAACAGGCAGAGUGUGUGUGUGGUGUAUAUCACAAAGGAAGACACUCAACCACUGGGCUUAAGAUGAAUAAACCCCUGCAGUCCAAAGGAAAAUGGCUAUAGUUGGCUAAGAGGUCACUUAUUUGAAAGAUUUAUCCUACAUAUAGAAGUACUCUGUGCAUACUUGUCUGCAUGCCAGCAGAGGGCAUCAGGUCACAUCAUAGGUGUUUGUGAGCCACCAUGAGGUGCUGGGAAUUGAACUCAGGACCUUUGGAAGAGUAGCUAGUGCUCUUAACCCCUGAGCCAUCUCUCCAGCCCCAAGAGGUUACUUUAAUAAGUGAAAUAAGUCACAUACAGGAAGAUAACUACUGCACAAUCAUAUGUAUGAGCUUAAAGAAGCUGGCUUAUAGGUGGGAUAGUAACCACCGUUCUUCUCCACUGUUCUCCAGUGACUGCCUCAGUGUGCUCCAUGUGGACAGAAAGACGGUGAUUGGAACAGUUUCUCAGCCCAUCUGUCGAGCGACAGAUUGAGGAAAGAGGUAGGAAGUAAGGCUGGGCUUCAUCAGUGCAUUCUGUGAGUCACAAUGAACUCCAUUAAUGUGUAAAAUUCUUAAAAAGAUAAAGAAGUGGUCUCUUGUGUUUGUGUGACUGGCUGGAUAUGUGAGAAGCUGUUGGAAGCAAACAGACAUCAGUGGUCAUUGUUCCAAAGCCUCAGACCCAAGCUACCUCAGCCAAAACCACCCUGAGAGAAAUCACAGCACUGACACGAGGCAGUUACUUUUGUGAAUACCCGACACUGGUGCUCAGGGUCACCUCAAAGAUCACCAUGACCAGCCCUCCAGUGGAUAACAGAAACUGAGUUCCUGGGUCCGACAGGAUUGCUGCACCUCAGACCUUCCCAACCUACUCCAGCCCACAUUCCCAGCUUCAGUCUGUGCCUAGAUGAUCUAACAGUUACAAAUGUUCACGCGCUGAAUAAUGUUUGCUGUCACUGCAGACACUGCAGAUGACCUGUACCCUUUUUGUUGUAGAGUGGCCAGAUGGCCUCCUGGCCCUCAAUUCUCUUCUGAUGACUACUGACGGACCUAUGUGUUAUUUUACCUGUGACUACGCUUCAGAGGGCCUGAGACAGCAAAGGCCUUCUUGAGUUCCCUGCUACUAAUAUUCUCUUAGAGCCACAGCACUGGUAACUACUCAGAACUGUGGCCCUUGGAGUCAGUGUUCUGAGCAGAGGUUCAGGGCUUCCUGUUUUUGUGAGGUCAAGCAGGAGUCCUUCGUACCUUCUGGAGGAAGUGCCAGAGGACAGGCACCGUUUCCUUGCCGUUCUUCUGUUCCACGAUGUGCUGCAGGUACUCCACUGUGAUUUUCCUCCUGCAGCUCCAAAUCUUUGAGCAAUGAAUUAUACUUUUUUGGGGCAAGUGGGGCAAGAAGGUUGCUGGGUCCCCAUAGAUGAUUUUGGUCACAGGGUUGGAGCUGAUGCGCUCAUCUUGGCUGAUAAGAGCAUUUAUAGCUGGCAAGUUUUUGUCAAGAUGCUGGAUGAAGAGAAUGAAACAGAAUUCUGGAAUUCAGACAUUGCUGCACACAGGCUGUGGCUACCCUCCUACCUUGCCUGUCCCGCUGCUGCUUUCUGUUAUACUUAACAGUUCCUUGUAGGGUUUGCCCCCCUGCACCCUGAAUACAGGGGAUUCAGGGCUAAGAUGCCACAAUCACUGCUUUCCUUCCACCUCCCCACUUUAUCUCUGGUAUGCUUUGUUCCUCUCAGCAGCGCUCUUCUCUGACAGAAGAGUAUUUCAUCUGUGACCAUUGUGCAUCCUAGUGGGUCUCUCGGUAGGGUAGUAGUUCUGCUUCAUACUCUCACAUGCAGCUCUCUAGAGUGAUGACAAGCAAGCUGUAGGUUGAGGGCAGUGAAGCCUGAGGCUCAGAGGAGUCCCUCCCCAGCGAUGAUGGGUAAAGAUUACUCAGCAGAUGAAUGGGAGACCCCUACUCCUAUCCUAGACAGAAGUGCUAAGCAACUGUCACAGCUUACCUUCAGUUCACGUAGCAGAAGAGUUUCAAAAUGCUUCUCCCAGUUGUUCCUGCAUCCUUUGGUUGACAAUUCUGCAUUAAAAUUUAACACCCCUACAAAUGAAACAAGAAUGUGUGGGUUGCCCUAGAAUAAGAGCCAUAGCAUCCUGCAUAGGGUAAGUACCAGGUAAGUGCCAAUAGAGAGUUCAAUAUGGAGGAAAUACUUUCCUAAGUACCCUAAGGAUGCUAACAGGCCCUGAUGCAAUCAUCUGCUGCUGUUGCCUUUGUAAUGAUUCCUUAACUUCAGACAGUUCCUUUGAUUCCAUUGCUGUCACCAUGAAGCCAUUCAGAACCCAACUACUAAGAACAGAACUUAAAACCACAAGCCCAGAAGCAGGAAAGAGUGGUGCCCAGUGCUACCGUCAGCCACUCCAGCUGCUGCACAAACCAACACCUAUGAAAGUGGUGUAGAUGCUAAGAUAGCGGCAGCCUUCUAGAAUGCCCUCAUUUGUGUGAAAUCACACC
rnacentral:lncRNA from 1 species